AGCUGACAGUUGUCAGUGAUCAGUCAGUGUUAAUGGACUCAAGUAUCUGUGCAGCAUCUGAAGGACUGGAAAAGGUGACUCCGAAGAAGGACCGGUUUACGAUUGGAUGAUCAGGACUGUGUUGAGAAUAUGUCACCUGUCAAAGAGCAUGUGUUAAAUGAGGAGCAGAGCUUUUGUGCCCCCGCUGAAGGAGG